ensembl:lincRNA
AUCCACCAGAAACCAGUUGCACCUGUUUCCUAAGUAUAAUGACCCAAAAAUAACUCCAGAUAUCACCAAAUGUUCCCAGCAUGGCAAAACCACCCCAGACUGAGAACCACGUUCUAGAAUCGUGUGUCACAAAAGGGUCUGUUUAAAUGUAAAGAUUUUGGAUCCUCUCACAAAUAGUUGAAUCUUUAGGGCGGAGGUUCUGAGAAUCUGAGUUUUCCAUUAGCAGGCUUGUUGGUACUAUGGAAAUUAUAAGUUUAAUAUGCAGAUAUGCUGUGUGAUAAGCACAAAUAAACCUCAAUUCUGAAGCAGAGUGAAGAUAAUGAUUCUAUGAGAAGACAGACAAGAUAAGCCAGCCACUGUGGAAUCAAUCUGACUGCUCUGAGGCCAUGGUACUGUGAAGAAGUCCAAGCCAGCUCAUGAUGAGCUAUCACAUGGAGAAUAUAUGGGAGAGAUAGAAAUGACACAACUUGCCAUCCCCCAUCUGCUCCAGCGGCUUCAUGUUCUACUUCCAGCUCUCAACUCAUUGCACAUCAGAUUUGGACCCAAGUCUCUAACAAUGUUGCUUUGCUUCAGGAUGGUGACGAAAACAGUCAUUGACUUACUGGCACUUUUGUACCAUCUGUGUUCAUGCUCCUUCUCAUUAGUGUCUGGCAGCAAGAAUUUAUUUUAUUUGAGAAAUAAUAAAUGUAAUGAACCUCUACUAUCCUAAACACUGUGAGGGAAGGCAAAAAAGAGAAAAGAGAAAAAAAAAGUCAAGGGUUUGUCCUUCAGAAAUUUAUACUAUGAAAAUACACAGACUUUGGCUCAAAAGAUCUAUUUAUGUAUUCUAUAGGAGUUUAUUAAACAUUUACUUAGGGACCUAUUACUAGAUGAUAGGUGUUAUAAGAGAUAGCAAGUCAUUAUCAGAUAUUGUCAAUGCUGUUAGACUGAAUUUUUUUUUUUAUUUAAAGGAUUAAGAUAACAUCACAUAAUUUCAUUCCAGUUUGCUUUCCCAUCACAAAGUAACCAUGUUUCAGGAGAAGUUGAAUUUUUACUUAUACACAGUUUAGCUUCUUAGUUUUUAAAUCAUUCCUAUUGAAUUAUUAUGGAUGAUUUGCAUCCAUACACUUCAAUAGCCUUUUGGGGACUUACUAAGAUAAAUUUUAGGUACUAGUUAAUGGCACAGACUAUAGAUUGUACAACACAUGGUAACUAAACAUGUGAUCUAGUUUUUUGACCAUAUAUACAUUUUAAUCUCUCUGUGCUUAAAUUUCAUCAUCUGUAAAGUGGGACUCCCAACAAAUAUUUUUUACUGCAUGUUUAAGGAAUAAAACGAAGCCAUUCAGCACAAUCAUUGCAUAUAUUAAAUACCUGAUAAAAUAUCACCAUACAAUUAUACUGAUUUUAUUUGCCUCUCAAAACACCUUUUGCAGGUACAUAAAUAUAAUUUUAUUAUCCUCAUUUUAUAGACGAUGAAAGCUGAAACAUUAUAGUAUUUUCCUCUGGCCACCCAGUGGUGCUAGCAGUAAAGAACCCUCCUGCCAAUGUAGGAGACAAAAAAGAUAAGGGUUCAAUCCCUGGGUCAGAAAGAUUCCCUGGUGAAGGAAAUGGCAACCCACUCCAGUAUUCCUGCCUGGAGAAUCCCAUGGACAGAGGAGCCUGGUGGACUACAGUCCAUGGGGUUGCAAAGAGUCAGAUUUGACUGAAACGACUUAGCAUGCACAUACAUAGUAAAUUGAAUAGUUGGUAUUUAACUCCCAGUGUUCUGUUUUAAUAUCCAUAUA